rnacentral:rRNA from 1 species
AUGUGGAUAAGCGAAGGAUUUAUCCAUGGAAACUCUAGUGAUUUGGAAGAAUUGGGAAUAAAUUACUACAAGGAGUUGGUAUCUAGGAAUCUUAUAGAGCCAGAUAAAUCGUAUACUACUCUGUGGGUUUGCAGCAUGCAUGAUGUUGUUCGGUCAUUUGCGCAGUAUAUGACUAAAGAUGAAGCACUCGUAGCUCAAGACGGAGACAAUGAUAUUCUUGCUAAACUUGGUUCACAAAAGUUUCUUCGGUUGUCCAUAGAAACUAACCGAUCACAACCAGGUGAACUUGACUGGAAAUCUCUACAAGCACAACAAUCAGUGAGAACAUUGAUCUCAACUAUCCAGAUUAAGAUGAAGCAUGGUGAUUCACUGGUUACUUUUUCUAGUUUGCGGGCUCUUCAUAUAGAAUCUGCAGAUAUGGCUCUAUUGGUGGAAUCUUUGCAUCAACUCAAGCACCUGAGGUAUCUAACACUAGUAAGUGCUGAUAUAUUUGUACUUCCAGGGAACAUUUGCAAGAUGAAACUAUUGCAAUUCUUUGACCUCUGUGGAUGUACAAAGUUGGUGAAUCUUCCUGACGGCAUUGUGAAGCUUGGCCAGCUGAGGUUACUUUCACUUCCAGGAGCAAGUAUGCUACCUAGAUGGUUUAGUGGUCUGAGAAAUAUGAGGAAACUAAGUAUGUUUCGAGCCCACAUGGACGGUGAUUGGUGCAGUUUGGAUGAGCUGGGGCCUCUUUCCCAGCUCAUGUUUCUUGACUUAAUUCAAUUGGAGAAUGUAUCUGCUGCCUCAUUUGCUGCUAAUGCUAGGCCCAGUGAGAAGAUGCAUCUUAUCAGGCUAUUAUUGCACUGCACCAGCAAACUUGGAGAUGAUGGGUUGGUCAAAGAGAAGGAUGGUGUCUCCGAGGAAGAGCAGCAACGAAUUGAGAAGGUUCUCGAUAAGCUCUGCCCUCCACCUUGUGUAGAAUAUCUUACAAUUAGUGGGUAUUUUGGCCGGCAACUCCCGAGCUGGAUGAUGUCCACAUCAAUGGUGCCCCUAAACAACUUGAAGACUAUAUUUUUUGAUGAUCUGGCUUGUUGCAGACAACUUCCCAAUGGGUUGUGCCAGCUCCCCAGUCUGCAGUUUCUACAGGUCUCUCGUGCUCCAUGCAUCAAACAUGUUGGGACUGCAUUCGUGCAGGCGGCAGUAGCAUCAUCAUUUCCAAGGUUAAACGUAUUGAACUUGGGAGGAAUGGUGGAAUGGGAGGAGUGGGGGUGGGAGGAGCAAGUACAAUCCAUGUGCCGUUUGGAGAAGCUUGUGCUCGGUACAUGCAGACUGAGGCAUAUUCCUCCAGGCCUUGCCUCCAACGCAAGCUCUUUGAAAAUAUUAGUUCUAGAGCAUGUCAAGCAACUCAGCUACAUUGAGAGCUUUUCUUCUGUUGUUGAGCUUAUAGUGGAUGGAUGCCCUGACCUGGAGAGGAUCACCAAUCUCCCCAAUCUGCAGAAGCUUACCAUUGAGAACUGCCCAAAGUUGAAGGUGCUGGAGCAUAUCGCUUCACUCGAGAGGUUGCUUCUGGAGGAUUACAACAUGGAAAAACUCCCAGAAUACAUGCGAGACAUAAAGCUACAAAAUUUGCAGUUAUUCUGCAGGCUAUGGUUGCUCUGUGCAGUAGCCGCGGGACAAUCUGGCACUGAGUGGGAUAAGUUCAGCCAUGUGGAGCAUGUCAAGGCAUAUGCACGUGAUGGAGAUAACCAUAGAAAAUGA